rnacentral:lncRNA from 1 species
AGUAAUUGGAAACAGUAAGUAAAGUUCUUUUUUGAUUUUUGUUGUAUGUUGGAAUGCAUUUUUUUUUAUUGAAACGAUACUUAUCUGGCAUUUAACAAAGAUAGCGGACGACACCUGAUUAAACUUAAAUAUCUAGGUUUUUGUCAAUUAAUUGAGUAUUACGAUAGAGCUCAUACUAGUUUUUCUUCACUUUAAGUAAUCAUGUGUACAAUAAAAGCUAAUUGUAAGUGCAAAUAAAGACAUUUUUUAUUCAUUCAUAUUUUUUUUGUGUGUAUAAUUUUCGUUGUUUACCUGUAAUUUCAGCCGCACGUAACUGUAUUUUAUUAUUACGUAAUCUCUAUACAUGUAUACAUGUCACAUUACACACGGUCAUUUGAUUUAUUGUAUAGUUAUUUUGAUAUUUUUUUACUGUGUUUGAUUAUUUACCGUGAACUCAUAGAAUAUGUCUCUCUUGGUUUAAUAUAAGAUAAUGUGUCGUGGAUUGAGAGAAAAAAAAUUGUCUAGUAAGACUAAUUUGGUAAAUCUUGUUUGCUUCUAUGUAGCUUAGUUCACUUGCCCCUAAUUGUCUUCUUCUUCUUUUUUAUUAACACCAUAUAUAAUACUUUUCCAGGCGAGGCAACCAAAGAAAAGGUAAAGUAUAACUUUCUUUAAAUCGAUUUCGUUUUGUUUUUACAAAGAAGAACAUCACGUAAACACACAAAAUGUUGAUAUAUAAGGUCUGAAAAAUGAAAUUGCCAUACAAAAUAAAGAACUCAACAAUUAUACCUUUUAUAUUGUAUACCUUUUUUUAUUGAUGUUUUGUUACAUUUCAUUUGUUGGAUUGUUUAUUCUUUGAAAAUAUCCAAAAUGAUUUUGUUGUUUUCAUGUGAAUCUUUUAACAUUUGAUUUUCUCAUUAGGUUGAGACAUUUCAAAUGCAAUUUAGCACACACUUUAUUAUUUAAGCCUCAACGAUGUAAUGGCUCAAACGAAUGUGGCUUUAACCAAUGUUGUGCCAAUAAAAAUCUGAGAGGACGAAAAAGAAGAUCUCCCAGCUUUGCUGGAAUUUGUCAACCAUAUGGUCAAUUAAAUGCAGGUACAGCGUUUUUUAAGGAUAUAUUUUCAAACGAUGAUGAAUAAUUAUAAUCUUAUGAAGAGUUGUCUCAUUGGCAAUCAUACCACAUCUUUUUUUCUUAUAUUUACUGCUGAGUUUGUUACUCGUGCUGUGUGGUAGAAGCAUAAUGUGUCCCCGUGGUUAUUAAAAAGAACAACACAUAAUGGCCUUUAUGGUAUAUUCCCUUAUAUUUUUACAGUAAGGGUUAUUUGUUUGUGCGAGAGCUGUCAAAAUAUUUAUUUACAUCAAUGUGCUAUUUCUUUUACUGUAUUUCUGUGUCAUUUUGACUCAUGUGAAGAGUUUGCAAUCAUUUUUCAUCUUCUUUUCUAUAUGAUCUAAAUUCUUUGAAACUUCUGAAGUUAGAUUGCUUCAUUUUAAUAGUAGCUUUAAUUCAUCAUACAGUUUUAUCAUCAGAACCAAAAUCAGUGCAGUAAUGGCAUUACCGGUGAUAACACAUGAACAUUAGUGCACCUCUGCUGCCGAUCGUAUCCAAGCGAAACAGACAAAUCAGUUAAAUAAAAAAAAUGUUAUUUUCUUACAAAUUGAAUUUAUUUCAAGCAAAUAAACAUGCACAAUGUAUUUAUGUCAUGCAUUUCUACUCAACUUGAAUGUUUAUACAUUAUAAUGACACCUUCGAUGAAUGCACCUGCGAUGGUACCAGUUAUGUUUAAUCGUAACAUAUGUACUACCGUUAAUUUCGAGGAUCAACACACUUUUCAAGAUUUUUCCCAAUAUCGUGGAACACUUAAAAUCAAAGAUUUGUAUAAAAAAAUAGAUGUCAUAUAAGAAAAAAUGUGUAAGGGUUCCGCGAAACCCAGUGUCUCGACUACUUUUGAUUUCAAUCGCUCACUCAACAAAAAUGAGGAAAAAAAUCAAUAAAAUAUUCCCCUUGAUAUUAUCUGUUGAUUGAAAGAAGCUUCUUAUCAAGUUUGGUAAAAAUCCAGGAUGAAUCUUAAAUGUUUUAAAAACUGCAGAAUGUAUAUAACGUUAACUGAAGUUCAUUUAUAAGUAAAAUACGGAAAAAUGGAUAUUGUUUUUACAAAAUUUACUAAUUGAUACUAUUUUAUGAUCAUAAACAAGGUUCUUUCCAAGUGUGGUUCAAAUCUAGGAUAGUUUAAGAAAGUUAUAAAAAUUUCAAAAACUUAAACCACAGUGUGAAUAGUUGUGGAUGCCGCCGACGACGACGCCGACGAAAUGUAGGAUCGCUAUGUCUGGCUUUUUUGGUUUAAGUCGAAGGUUCCACAAAAAUCUAACAUAGAAUAGCAAAAAGAAAAGUAACUUUUACCUCUUGUGCAAAAAUAUUAAAAAUAAAUACUCAAUCGCAUAUUGCUUCAGGAAUUUGCCACUGAAAUACCUAAUAUCGCGUAGCAUGUAUCGCACCAUGUCUGACAUAUAUGAUGGGAGUGUCAUACAAUUACUUAAGUGUUGAUGAAUUUUUAAAAUCUACACAUACAGACAUCAACCAGUUUGGAAAGUAUUGGUUUUGUCUGAAUUUUGAUCUAAACUAAAACAAAGGAAAACAUGUACAAAUGUAUACUGCACCUUUCUUUGUUUCAUAGUCCUGAAUAUUCACUUUGAUAGGACCUGUAAUAAUCUUCGAUUUUUUUUCACAGUGACGGCCAGAAAUCGCCUUUAAAUUGUAGCCAACAAAAGACACAAUCAAUAAUAAAUUUAACAAUAUUUUAUACAAAAUUUACUAGAAGUAUUACACAAAUAUUACUGUCAACUUAACUGUCAAAAUAUGAGUCCAAUCUUUUAUCUUUGUCUGUAUCCGGAUAUUUCGAAUCCAAUCUGAAUACGUUUCACUACUACAGUCACAAUCCAGUAUGAUGUUGUUGUAGAAUUAAAGUGUCAUCCAAUGCGGUGAAUACUAAUGUCUAUCGAUCUAAGUCUAAGUCCAAGAGUGAGUCUUUAACUUAGUGCCUGUAUAUAUAGUUGUCACGGAAAAUUCUAGAACACUCUAGAAUGGAACGUCCUAGAAAGUUACAACGAAAUUUUCUAGAAAAAUGUAGAAGUUUAUAUAACGCAUAUUUUAUUAGGAUCAUUCUGGAAUCAUUAUGUAAGUCACAUGGAAUAUUCCAAUCAUUCUGUGAUUGUUCCGGUGAUUUCUAAACUGCACAGUUCUAAGAUUAUUCUGUAAACAACUAUCAGGCCACACAACACAAAUCAGGCCACAUAAAUAAAUACAUAUUACAAUAUAUAAACCUCCCCUUAAAAGAAGUUUUAGUGUAACAAAACUUAUCAUGAAUAAUAUGAACAAAAAUACAUAGUAUAUACAAAGUUUUUAAUAAGCUUAGAUAAACAUCUGCUAUUACAUUAUCUUCUCCCUUAAUAUGUUUUACAAUUACAUCAUAUUCCUUAACAACAAACUCCACCUAGUCACCUCUGAUUCUUGUUUCUUUUAUGUAUGAAGGUGAGAGGAUGUCAGUGAACAAACAAGAAUAGAUAUACAGUGGGAUUCAAAUAUACAUCAAAAUGUUGAAGUGCUGACAACAUUUCAAAACACUUUUUUUCAAUCGUUGAAUAAUUAUUCUGAUGUUUAUUUAAUUUCUUGGAAAAAUAUGAUAUAGGUUUCUCAACAUUAUUCUGUCUCUUGAUAUAAAACAGCUCCAAUUCCUACAUCGCUGCAUCAACGGUUUAAAUUGUUUUGUCUGAGUAAAUCAGAACUGGACUUUAAUUAAAGUGAUUUGCUAUUUUCAAAAGCGUUUUGACAAUUUUCACUCCAGAUAAAUUUAGAAUCUUUUCGUAAAAGAUGAGUCAAUGGUUGACACAGUGCAAAUUUGAACAAAAUUUUCUGUAAAUCCAAUCAUGCCUAAAUAUCUCAUAAGUUGUUUUCUAUUUGGAGGAGGAAAUUGGAAAUAGCUUCCACUUAGCCAUAUAGGUUUCACUUGACCUUGGCCAACUGUGCCCUAAAUAAUCAACAGUGGCCUGACAAAAUUCACUUUUCCAAGAUAACAGUCAAAUUUGAUUGUGACAAUCUAUCAAAGUAUCAUACAAAUGUGUUAAAUGCUUUCCAGCUAUCACUACAUACAAUUAGAUCAUCAAUAUAAGCAUAACAACAGUUCAAAUCUUUUAACAUAUUGAUCAUUCUUGAAAUUUAGCUGUGCACUUUUCAUGCCAAAUGGCAUUACAGUAUAUUGAAUAAGCCAUCUGGUAUAACAAAAGCUGAUAUUUCACGAGCUCUCUGUGUCAAUGGAACUUGCCAAUAACCUUUCAACAAAUCAAAUUUGCUCACAAAUUUUGCUUGACCAAUGUGUCAAUACAAUCGUCUAUCCUUGGAAUCGGAUAGGAAUCAGAUUUUGAGACUGAAUUUACUUUCUGAAAUCAGUCACGAAACGAAAGGUUUUAUCUGGUUUUGGUACAAGGAGACAAGGAGAGCUCCAUUCACUGUUACUCGGCUCAAUAAUAUCAUUGUCAAGCAAUUAUUUAAUUUCUUUUCUCAUAGCUUCAAGUUUGAGUGGAUUGAGCCGGUAAGGAUAUUGCCUAAUUGGAGAAGCAUCUCCUAUAUCAACAUCAUGCAAACAGCAGUGGUUUGUUUGGCACAUCUGGAAAAAAAUUUUAAAAGAAAAUACCAAAGUUUUUAUUUCUUCUCUACGAUCAAAGACAGAUGUGCAAGUUUUGAGUCUAAAUUUGACAAAAUUUCUGAAUUUUUCAAUCUAACUGUCUCUUCCAUAGUUUUAGAACUUAAAGGUGGUUCAAUUACAUCUGGUUUGUCAUGAUUGUUCUCAAUUUAACCAUGCCUAAAGUGGCAAACUGGUUUACUCUCACAUUCAUUAGUACGCUCAAAAUAUGGUUUUAACAUAUUAAUAUGACACACUCUGUUUUGUUUACGCCGACUGGAGUUUUUACAAUAUAAUUCAAAUCAUUGAUUUUACUCUCUAUUGUAUAAGGACCACAAUAUUUAAGCCUGUAAAGGAUGUCAGGGACUGGCAAAAAUACAAGUACCUAUCACCAGGCUCAAAAACUCUGUCCCUGACAUCUUUAUCAUACCAUAUCUUCAUCUUGUUCUGUACAUUUUUUAAGUUUUUUCUGAGCAAUUUGACAAGCAGUGUACAAUUUUCUUUAAAUCUAGAUACAUAGUCUAAAAGAUUCAAGUCAGUAUGUUCAGUAAGCCACUUUUCCUUAAUCAAUUUUAACGGUCCCCUUACAGUAUGGCCAAAUACGAACUCAAAGGGACUAAAUCCAAGGGAUUCUUGAACAGCCUCUCGGACUGCAAAAAGUAGAAAGAGAACUCCAUCAUCCCAGUCUCUGUCAAAUUGAAGACAAAAAGUUCUAAUCAUGUUCUUCAAUGUUUGAUGAAAACGUUCUAAGGCACCUUGAGAUUCUGGAUUGGUACGCACUUGAUCUAUACUGAGCAAUCCCUAACUGGUACACGACUUGCUGAAAUAAACCUGACAUGAAAUUUGAUACCUGGUCGGACUGUAUAGACUUAGGAAGUCCUACUAAUGUGAAAAAUUUGAUAAGUGCUUUGACAAUAGUAGGUGUCUUGAUAUUUCUUAGCGGAAUAGCCUCAGGAAAGCGAGUAUGUACACAUGAUUGUCAAUAAAUACGCAUUUUCCAGUUUUGGUCUUUGGUAAAGGUCCAACGCAGUCAAUUAGAACUCUGUUGAAAGGUUCGUCAAAGGCUGGAAUAGGCAGAAGUGGUGCUGUUGGUAUUUUCUGAUUAGGCUUACCAACAACCUGGCAUAUAUGACAUGAUUUGCAGUAUUCUGCAACAUCAUUUCUAAGUCUUGGCCAGUAGAAAUGCUGCAAGAUCUUAAGGCAAGUCUUCCUUAUACCUAAGUGUCCAGCCAAGGGGUGUCAUGGGCAAGACCAAUAAUUUCUUGCCUAUAAACUUUAGGCACCACCACUUGGUAUACCACUCUCCCAUUCCUCCUCUGGGUAGCAUCAGGAGGCUUCCACUUCCUCAUUAAAAUGCCGUCCUGAUGGAAAUAGCAUUCAGCACUUUGUCUGCUUCCUCCUGUGGUUGAGCCCUCUUGAGGAGCUGAAGAACCUCAGGGUCUUUAUUUUGUUCUUCGAAAAAGUUCUUUCGGUUUAAUGAAUGGCUGUUUACGUCUGGCCAUGGCAUAAUUACAUUCUUGUUAACACUAGGUGGUCUUAUUAUGGCCUUUUCUGAGCUACAGGACCUUCAAUGUCUGCUAGGAAAGUGUCAGAAAGGUCCAUGUAAUCAAACUGGUUUUCUUGCAAAUCCUCAUCUUGUUGUUUUCUAGCCAUCGCCCUAGUUACAAACAAGCUGGAUACAAUUCAGCAUCAUCUUCAGGUAUUUAACAUCCACACUGGUUCACUGGUAAACAAUUGGUUCAGCAACCACUUUGUUUUAGCUAGAUCAUUUCCUAGCAAUAAUGUAACACCCUCAACAGGGAGAUUAGGACGAACACCCACAAUAACUGGUCCAGUUAUCAAAUCUGACUUCAGAUAAAUACGAUGGAGAGGAACAUCUAUACAACCCUAACUCUACACCUUGUAACAAAACGGAGGCACCAACAGAAGUCUUCUCGGACAAAGGCAACACACCUUCUAACAAUAAAGACUGAGAAGCUCCAGUGUCCGUAAAAUCUUAAUAGGCUGAAGAGUGGUAUCAUCAACAAUAGAAAUAAACCCAUCAGACAUAAAGGGUUUAUAUUCCUCCAUGUAAUCACAAAAACUGGACUUAAAAGCCUGACUCGCAGGACAUUCCAACGUACUGGUAAUAUAAGGUGUCGUACAAGCACUGGACUUCGGCUUAUUAUCUCGUUCAUUCUUCUUCUGGAGUCUAAAACAAUCAGCCAUCAGGUGACCAUUUUUCUUACAUAAGCACAAAUCAGUGACUUCUUCUCAAAAGUAUCAAAUUUUGGACUAGACUAUUAUAAACUGGACUGACUCUUAUUCUGUGCAACAGGCUUACUAUCAGUACGCUCAGUGCUUUGAUUUUUGUAAUUUCCACUUGAAGUAUUAACAUUUUGACCCUUGAAACUUCUUUUAUGUGAAAGGGUAUAAUUAUCUGAAAUUACAGCUGCAUCAUGUAUUGUCCCAACAGUUUUGUCGUCUAAAUGUUUUUAAGUCUAAAUGAACACAUUGUUUGAACUCUUCUAAUAACAUCCAAUUGUCUUAGGUUAUCAAAAUUGUUAUCUGUUUUCUUUGAAGUAAGCUAUUUAUCAAAUAGAUCUUCUUUUUCCCGAGAAAUUCCACAUAGUUUGCGAAUCAAACUUUUUAUAAGAUCUAAAUUUCUGUCUAUAUGCUUCUGGUACUAGCUCAUAAGCUUUCAAAAUUCCUGUUUCACCGUGUCAUAAAUCGGAACUUUUUUCUGAUGGAAGUGCAGAGUAUAUUUCAGCGGCCUUACCCUCAAAAAACACUUUGUAGCAUUGUAGUCCAAUAUGGCUUUGGCCAAUUCAAAUUAUGAGCAAUUUUCUCAAACUGUGGAAAAUAUUAUCGACUGUUUUUUCACAAAUCUGGGAACCAAACGUAUAUUUUUUGCUGCAUCAAAAAUUCUGAUUUCGGCUGGACUUUAGUGUUGCUUUCUUCUUUGACCAUUUCAAUUUUCAGUUUCUCCAUCUCUAGUCUUUCCCUCAUUCAAGUUCUGCUUGUUAAUUUAAAUUCAUUUUUCUUUUUCUUUUAAUUUAAAUUUCAAGUUCUUCUUUUUAUUUAAUUUAAGCUGUUUUAAUUUAAGCGUCAACAUUUUUCGACCUUAAGUUCAAGAGCCUCUUCACGUAAAAUUUCUGCUUCAACUAAUUUGUCUAUUACCAAAUUUUUUAUAAUUUGUUUUGUCAUAGAUACCUUAAAAUUCAAUUUUAGAUGUUUAGCAAGUAACACUAAUUCCUCUUUCUUUAAAUUAUCAAACUCCUCCAGGUCUGGCGUUUUCAAAAAUUUAACCGGCAUAUUUAUUAUACAAAAGUUUACAAGAAGUAUUACACAAAUAUUACUGUCAACUUAACUGUCAAAAUAUGAGUCAAUCUUUUAUCUUUGCUGUAUCGGAUAUCUUUCGAAUCCAAUCGAAUAUUACGUUCACUACUACGGUCACAAUCCAGUAUGAUGUUGUUUGUAGAAUUAAAGUGUCAAUCCAAAUGCGGUGAAUACUAAUGUCUAUCGAUGUCUAAGUCUAAGUCCAAGAGUGAGUCUUUAACUUAAGUGUCUGUAUAUAUAUAGUUUCAUGGAAGAUUCUAACAGUUAUAAUGAAUCCUAGACAGUACACAGAAUUUCUAGAAAUGUGAAGUUUAUAUAACGUCUUUUAUAGGAUCAUUCUGAAGUUCCAUCAUUCUGUAAUCUGCCAGUGAUUUCUAAACUGCACAGUUCUAAGAUUAUUCUGUAAACAACUAUUAGGCCACACAACACAAAUCAGGCCAACAUAAAUAAAUACAAUAAUUACAAUAUCAUAACAGUGAACAUAUGUUUUAUUCUUUUAUGUUAAAUUAUGAUCAAAUCACAAAUCUUCGAGACAAGUAUAAUAUAUUGAACAAUCAUUUCUUCACCUUGAGAAUAAUACAAAUCGAUGUACAUUUUCUUUUGUGAACAGAAAUAUCAAAACAACGUAAGCCUUUUAUAUUAAAAUGUGGUUUUUUUAGUAGAAUGUGCAGUGAAAAAUCAACAUGCUAAUGACAACGUGUUUCCAGGUUGGUGUACAUGUUCUGUUCCAUU